rnacentral:lncRNA from 1 species
UUUUUUUUCCCACUGUACAGCAAGGGGGUCAGGUUAUCCUUACAUGUAUACAUUACAAUUACAUUUUUUCCCCCACCCUUUCUUCUGUUGCAACAUGAGUAUCUAGACAAAGUUCUGUCUUGUAAUUUCUUAUUGUUAAUGGAUAAUCUAACAUUAUCCUAACUAGUUUUUUGUUCCUUUCUGAGUAACAUGUACUGUCAGAUUGAAGGCUUUUAUGUAUUUUUAAGUCUGAUUAAAUUCAGAGAGUAUAGCUAUGUUUGGUUUCUUUAACAAAUUUGCUUUUAAUAUCAUUAUUGAUUACUGUCUAUCAAUGAAGCAUAUUUUUCCCAUCUCAGAAAAACUUUCAAACAUUGUAUAUUUGAUUGUUCCUUCUUCCCAGUUGUUUAAAUUUCUUCCUCACAAUAGCCAUUUUAUUCAAAGGUUGAUUUGCUUUUAUUAGGCUCUGUAACUAUUUCUUCUUCUUCUUCCUAUUAUUAUUAUUAUUAUCAUUAUUUUCAUCACUUUGUCCUUUUUCAAUGAGUUCUAGGAAAGGAACUUCAGUUUGCCCUCAACAUUAUAUUUUUUUUUCUGGUUAAGUUCUUCCCUUCACUGCCACUGAUACAGAGAGAUUUCAGCUCCACUGUUUGCUUGUAUGUUUUUUAAGGCCUUUUCCUAGUAUCACUGUUGUCCUUUUUAUCUAUAAAAAGCUCCUUUUUAUCUGGGCUCAUAUCUCAGCCUGCUCUGUUUGUCAUCAACCAGAUCUCUUCUAAUAAUUUCAUAUAUUCUUUAUGGCUUACUAAGAACAUGAAAUAUAGAUCUUUAAAUUACUUUUUAUUUCCUCCUAAAAAUAAUGUUUUCAAAAGUUGUGUUUUCAAAUGUAGUCAGUGUAUUUAGUUCAGAACUUUUUUAUUGUUUCUCUAGUGGUUUGUCUUUUUUUGUUGUAUAUUCAUCUUCCACAAUACUUGCUGACAGAAGACAUGCAGCACAAUUUUACCAUUUCUGCACACCCUCUGAUCUGCUGGUUCCCUGGAGAGCUAAAGUUGCAAAGCCAAGUUGGUUCACAUCUUGUCCGUAUGUCAGUGCUUUGCUCUCAGGCCCUCAGCUUGGUGGGCUAAGGAUGAUCAGGUUCUCUAACAUCCUUACACCCUAGCAAAUGUGUGGAGGGGCUUAAUGUUCUUCCACCAGGUACAAGGCACAGAAGAUGAAAUGGUACUCUUCUCCCACAGCCCCACCAGCAGCACUGUAGCUGUAAUAACCACAAUUUUCCAGAUUGCUGUGACAUGGUCUCCCCUUUAUCUCCUCCAGAUGCAAUAGGAAGGGAGGUGAUGAGGGGGCAGGGUGCUAUUCAAUAUUCUGCUGGGCUCAAGGACUUCUUCAGACCUUGGUGGAGGGGGUGGAGGUCACCAAGGCCCCUUCUCACCUAUCUCUGGCCAAAUGAGCCACUAACAAUAAAACUGUCAUCAAUUUUGCUUCUGAAUCUGUCUCAUUGUUGCUGAAGAUAAUGGAAAUCCCUUCCAAGGCUAACAAUUGUUGACAGUGUUCCGGUGAGGUUUUUUUGUGUUGUUUUGUUCAUUUUCUGUACUUUUGUGUGUAUUUUAAGGACAAAUUAAAAGAGAGAUCACUCAGGACUAAAAUAGCCUCAAGUCACAGCUGGUCUCAUGCUCUUUGACUCUCUUGUAACACAGAACCCAGAAGCUCCCCAACAAUAGGUUCUCAGGAUGGAAAGUACAAACAAAUUAAGAAUUUGGGCUGAAAUGUUUGGGCCCAGAAGCUGAUCUGGAACCAGUCUGGGAUCUAGGUCAGGCAUUGGGAUGCAAAAAUCCCAAGAGAGGAGGAGCAGCAGUCAAAAGCUGUGUGAAAACACAGACAUGGUCUGGCAGGAAGGCAGGAGAUGAGUCCAGCAUAUGAAGCAAGCUUCUGAGGAUGAGUCAGCCAGGGGAGUCAGGAAGCCAGGGCUCCAUGUGGAGCUGCUGUAGACCUCAGCGCUGCAAGAUGCAAGACUCAGACCCCAUUGCCAAGCCCUCAAAACCCCUCCACAACAUCUCCUCAUUGUGAGGCUCUGUCUCCACAAGCUCCUCAGUUUACAGGUACCCGAGACUCCCAUUCUUACCAGGACUACAAGCCUGUUAUUCCAGCCUCUGGUCCUAGUUCUGCCCAAGGCUCCUUCUCCUCCCACCUGGAGUCUUUCAGACUGGGGGCAUGUAAACCCAGUCCUCUUUACUGGGCCCACACCCAGGGUAUUUCCUCUCUCUCUCGCUCUCUUUCACACACACACACACACACACACACACACACUUACUGAGCAAGUACAAGCCGGUAAGCAUCCAGGACAGUGUCUGUAGCCCUGGGGAGAGGGAGGAUUGCUGAAGAUGCCUACCUUCCUGUUUAGAGGGGCUGAAAGCACUCUCCAUUACCCUUGCCCAGGCCAUUAGGAGAAACAAGCAAGAAGAACUGAGGAACAGCAGAAAAGCAAGGGAUGCCAUCGAAAUUCCCUAGAACCACCUACCACACCAAGAACUGCAGCCAGCCUCCCUAUCCUGGCACGCAUGCACAGAUAGAUCACCCCUGCGCAGCCCACUCUCCUGUGCCCUGGAGUAUGAGGCUGUAGCAGAAAACUGCCCCAUCCCAUUUUAUUCCUGGAAGGGAGCAAGCAAAUCUGCCACCAGUGGAGGGCAGCCAGAUCUCCAGGACCCCAGUACGUGGGUGACAGUGUCUGUUAGUGCUUAGAGGGUUCUUAAAUCUGCGCUCAUCCCACGUUCUGUAGCAGUCAGGACAGCAGGAUGCUGCAUGUGUUUUCAGGAAAGAAUAAUUCUUUCCCAGGGUAUUUCCAACUGCAACUAGUUAUUCUAUAGCACAUUCCACACACACAUUAGAGGGAGAUGAAAUAUCAUGCCUAAAGCAUAGAAAGACACUUCUGGGUGCUCUGAAAGUCCCCAGCUCAAAAGGUGGAUGAAAGGUGAAGAUGUGGGGAGGUAAGAGGAUUCGCCUGCAAACACACACCUUAUGGGCUUCACCUUCUCCUUCUCCAAGCUACCCAUGUGCCUGCCAUGCAAACCUACAUUAGAUAAACGUUAAAACUUCCUAUAGUAUAAGAUGUUGCAGAAGCUCUAAGACAGAAGUUCAAAUCCGUACUUUACAAAAGAGAAAAGAAAAACCCUCAUCUUUUUUGAAACCAAAGAAUUGUCCCACCCAUCAAAGGUAUCUUUGUAAUGGAGAUGAGAGGGAGAAAAGACUAAAUACAAAUAUAGAAAAAAAAAUUGUUAGCAGAGGCCAAAAAGAAUUAGGUAACGUCUCUGAUGUUAAUAUUACUAAAAGUGUUUAAUUUAACAUUAAGUGAGUCACUGAGCAGAAUACACAUCUGGGUGUAAUCCUAGGCUUUGUAAACUAGCAGCAAUGUGCCAGUGCUGUGCUCUGACUUUCCCUUCACCACUUUCUAGUCACCAUAUAAAGUGCUCUGUUAUUUUUUCCCAUUAGCACAAAGUUCAGCCUGCAUGCCUGCCUGCUCAAGAUAUUUCAAGGCCAGCAUCCAAACCCCUGCUUCUUGCCUUCAGGACCCUCUGAAUGUGGCCCAGCCCAUCUUUUUCAUCUAUCUCCUGCAGAUCCCUUCAGUUCAGGUAACCUGAAGGAACUGCUCGACUCUGUUUUGGCCGUGUGGUGCACCAUCUUCACCCGUCUGUUCCCUUGAGGCUGCUGUCAAAAUCCCACUCAACCUUCAAGGACAGCUUAAAAUAUGUCCUCUCCAGGAAGCUGUACCUGAGCCUCAGCCAGGAGGAACCCUCUCCAAACUGGCUCCCAGCACAUUCUCAUACUCUCCCUUAUGGUCACUUGCAGACACAUCGCCUUCCCUUGGAGACCACUAGCCCUUUGAAGGCAGCAACAGUCCCUUAGCACCUUGUGCUGUUCCUGGACCCACACGCUCACAGUUUUAAGGGUGACUGAGGGUGGGUGAUUUGCAAGCUCUUCAACUGUGUGAUCUAGCCUCACGAAUUUUUCCUGGCAGAGGGAACGUGCUUUAACACUUUUAUGAUAAGGACAGAAAAGAGAAGAAAAGAAGAAGAAGGGGGAGUAUGCAAAGAAAGGCUUUGGAGAAACAGGUGUAUUGAACUCCUCACUGAUGGUUCCUAGAAUCCUGGAAAUACUAAGGGAAGAGUUUCCUGAAAGGACUGAGACUAAGCUCUUCCUCUUCGGAGCAGUAUCUUCUACAAAAAAAUAGUUUGAAAACAAGUUCUUACCUGGCUGUCAGCUUUAUACAUUUAGUUCAGCAGAGCAAUGCAUUACUCAAAAUUCUUCUUUAUUUAUUCAGAAAAAAAAAACUUCUCAGAGUUCCCAUCGUGGUUCAGCAGUUAACGAAUCUGACUAGCAUCCAUGAGGAUGCAGGUUUGAUCCCUAGCCUUGCUCAGGGGGUUAAGGAUCCAGCACUGCCGUGAGCUAUGGUGUAGAUCACAGACUCGAUUGGAUCCUGUGUUGCUGUGGCUGUGGUGUAGGCCAGCAGCUACAGCUCUGAUUCGACCCCUAGCCAGGGAACCUCCAUAUGCCGCAGGUGUAGCCCUAAAAAGCAAAAAAUAAAUAAAUAAACUUCUUACUAAACCCAUGAAGGGUGAAAACUGAGUCUCUUGAGGAGUCUGAGGUUGGGAGGAUGGUCCUGUGUGGACACAAAGGCUGGCUGUGCAGGGAUGUGAGAAGAAGGGUGGAAGUGGAGAGCAGGCAAGAUGAGCAAGGCUGGGGUGCAGGCGUCCAGGCCAGUGGCUCCACACCCUUGCUACAAGAGUGCAGAAAUCAAAAGAUGCUUACUGUGUGUGGACAUGCAGAAACCAGUGUGGUGAGGGCUUCCCUGCCCAUGUUCAUGGCAGAGCAGAAAGGCUGUCACAAACACAGGGCUGUGACUCCAGAGGACAGCAGGGCUCACAGAAAUGGCAGGGUCUUUACUGCAACCUGAAGAAUUGGUCUUUGGGCCAAUUACAUCAACAUAUCAACAUUUUCAAGGGACAGUAGGGGGUCUCAGCUUUCAUUUGUUUACACACAGAGGCUUAGUACAAUGCCAGGGGACGAGCAGGUGCUCCAUGUGUUUAUUUGGAUCAAACCAAGUUAAGCUGAAAUGACAAAUGGCUCGUGCUGCCACCAGAGCUGAGCAGAAGCUUCUCUAGAUAAAAGGGUGCCCUCCACCCACCAUAUCCUGAUUCUUUCCAAGCUUUACCCAUCACCAAUGCAGUCCAGGGGCUCUGUGAUGCUGGCUGCUCUAAGCAGGGAAGUGGGCAACUGGGAUCCAGGGAGGACCUAAGUCACAGCAGAAUCGAUCCGUGCCCUGCUGGGUGCAGCCUCUCCCGAGCAGGGCCUGAUAUACAUGUGUUCACAUAGAGGGCUCUAGGCCUGUCGGUUUGGAUCUUAUGAGUCCAUGUGGAGAAUGAUUAAAAAGGGGAGGGAAGGAUGACACGUUAAAUAAUGUAGAAAAUGGAGUCUUGUUUACUUUAGAGAUGGAGAAGACAGCUUGCCAAUAAAACACAGCUUUCCAUUUCCCUCUAGAAUUCUGUUAUUAAAAAUAAUCUGUGAUGAACUCCCAGCACCUCUCUCACAAGACCUUCCAAAAGCUUUAAAAAUAAU